CCAAUAGCGUAUAUUAAAGUUGUUGCAGUUAAAAAGCUCGUAGUUGAAUUUCGGGAUCAGUACGCUGGUCGUGCCUUUGGUAUGUACUGGUGUCACUGAUUCCUCCCUUCUGAAGAACCGUUAUGCCAUUUAUUUGGUGUGGCGGGAAAUCAGGACUGUUACUUUGAAAAAAUUAGAGUGUUUAAAGCAGGCUCGCGCUUGAAUACAUUAGCAUGGAAUAAUGAAAUAGGACGUUUGAUCUUAUUUUGUUGGUUUCUAGGAUCGACGUAAUGAUUAAUAGGGAUAGUUGGGGGCAUUAGUAUUCAAUUGUCAGAGGUGAAAUUCUUGGAUUUAUUGAAGACUAACUACUGCGAAAGCAUUUGCCAAGGAUGUUUUCAUUAAUCAAGAACGAAAGUUAGGGGAUCGAAGACGAUCAGAUACCGUCGUAGUCUUAACCAUAAACUAUGCCGACUAGGGAUCGGAUGAUGUUAAUUUUUUAAUGACUCAUUCGGCGCCUUACG
rnacentral:rRNA from 2 species